GAUGAAGAACGCAGUGAAAUGCGAUAAGUAAUGUGAAUUGCAGAAUUCAGUGAAUCAUCGAAUCUUUGAACGCACAUUGCGCCCCCUGGUAUUCCGGGGGGCAUGCCUGUCCGAGCGUCAUUACAACCCUCAAGCUCAGCUUGGUAUUGGGCCCCGCCGCUCCGGCGGGCCCUAAAGUCAGUGGCGGUGCCAUCCGGCUCCGAGCGUAGUAAUUCUUCUCGCUCUGGAGGUCCGGUCGUGUGCUCGCCAGCAACCCCCAAUUUUUUUCAGGUUGACCUCGGAUCAGGUAGGGAUACCCGCUGAACUUAAGCAUAUCAAUAAGCGGAGGA
rnacentral:misc_RNA from 1 species